UGCCCACUGAUUUUAAUUAAAGGGCUGCAGUAUUUUGACUGUACAAAGGUAGCAUAGUAAAUAGUCAUUUAAUUGAUGACUUGUAUGAAUGAUUGGAUGAAAUAUAAACUGUCUUAUUAAUAAAAUUAAAAUUUAAUUUUUUAGUUAAAAAGCUAAAAUAAAAUAAAAAGACGAGAAGACCCUAUAGAGUUUUAUUAUUUAUAGAUUAAUAAUAAUUUGAAUUUAUGUGAAAAUUAAAAUUUUAAUUUAUAAUUAAUUUGAUUGGGGUGAUUAAAAAAUUUAAUAAACUUUUUUGAAAAUUUAACAUAAAUAAGUGGUUUCUUGAUCCAAUUUUAUUGAUUAUAAGAAGAAAUUACCUUAGGGAUAACAGCGUAAUUUUUUUUUUUAGUUCAUAUAAAAAAAAGAGUUUGCGACCUCGAUGUUGGAUUAAGAUAAAAUUUAAAUGUAGAAGUUUAAGGUUUUGA
rnacentral:rRNA from 1 species